rnacentral:lncRNA from 10 species
AUAAGCUAGUGACAUAUUGAGUUAAUUGGGCAUCAACCCAGGAAUUCUGCUUCUUGCUGUCCUACCCUGGACUUCCCCAUGAAGUUAGUGGCCCCAGGAGGAAGGUGAGAAAAGGGUGAAGCUGCAUUACACUUGCAGUCAGUGUUCAAGUCACCACAAAACGGUGACCUACCUACACAGUGCCCUGAAUCCUCCAGUCUUGCCCCAGAUGACAGAAUCCACAUGGACCCUUUUACUGAAGCCCGUCAGGCUCCGCGGUUUUAUAGAUGAUGUCAGGAGGAGUGAUUAGGACCAAAGGAAAAAGGUUCCUAGGCACAGUUGCUAAAACUGUGCUCCUGAGGUCUGUAGGAGCCCCCAAGGUCUCUGUUGAUUACUUUAAGCAAAGCUCUUCAGUUUCUCUGUGGGGAACUUCUCCCUAAGUGACCACAAUCAGGUUAGCAGGUGGCUGAGUAAACAAGGCUGAACAAUGGGUUUUCCGUCAAGUUGGUUUAUAUCAGCAAGAAGCCCUAAAUCUGUUUUUUUUUUUUUUUUCCAGUCCCUCCUGGAGAUGAAGAAAGAGUUCAGUCACCCUGCUGAGGAGAGAAAAGGCCAUUAUUGUCAAAAGAAGGCACCUGUCCUAGAUUUAAGGGAGGUGCGUUAUCCUGGAUGGUUUCUAGGCCUCAGUGGGAUGGUCUGAUGACUUCGUCUCACCCCCCAGCAUCCUGUCCAAGCCUUUAAGAUGAGGAACAAAUUCUAUGUGAGGAGAAAUGGCAAAAAUUGGAGGAAGACUAUGACAGCAGGAGAAAGAACAAAGAAUCUUCUAAGGGGCACAGAAAAGAGAGAGUUAUUAAGUCUUCCCCACCACCAGACUAGUAAAAAGAUUCCCUAGACUGGGAGAACAGAGAGAGCCAGAAGUUCUAUGCCUGAAGCUUUCCAAUGACAAAAUAAGAAUUCCCCAUGGCAGGUGAAUGGGUAAAUGAUGGAAGUGUCCUAUGCAUGAAUUAUUAUGUAGCCUUUAAAACGAAUGCAUUAAAUCUAUGCCAGUUCAUUUGGAGGGGGCUUCUGGUUUACAACACCAGCGAGAUGUAGACAAAGAUGCUACAAAAUUCCUUUUUGUAGAACAAAUGAUGCCCAGCCCCCAUUAUUAACAUAGACAUUUGCAUGUUUGCAUACAGUUGCAUGAGCAUGGGCAAAAAGUAUGAAAAGAUACACUUUGCUUCCUAACACUAUUUACCUGGGGAGAGAAAAUAAGUGGGAGGAAUAGAAACUUAAAAAGUAUGCACAAUAAAAAAGCAUUUGUGGCAAUUCCAUUUAUGUGAUAUUCAUAUGUAUACAUACGUGUGUGAAUGCGUAUGUGUGUAUGAAAAGAUUACCACCAACUCAAAUGGUACAGAUAUGUAUGAAGAAACUCAAGAUAAAUAAUAGUAACAUUUUGAUUAUUGAGUUUCCUUAUAGUUAUCUAAAUUGUUCAAAUUAUUUUCUCAAGCUUCAUGUAUUUUCCCACUUUUAAGCAGGCAAUAACAGAAACUAUCUUAAAGAUAACACAUUUAAAUUUACUGACACACAGUAGGCACCUAAUAAAUAGUUUAAAGAAAAUAAGUAUAAUUCUCAAAAUUCAAUAAAGAUCUUGUCAUUGUGGAGACAAAAAGAACCACGCUUGGAGAGAAGCCAGAGAUAGCUGAGAAGAUGCUCACUCUGUCUUCUCCUUGAAAGAAAAGCCAACACAGAUUUAAGAGGUCCAAAAAUGAUAGAGAGGAAGAGAGAGAGAGAGAAAGAUUUUCAACCUGCUGCUUUUCAACCAAAACAUUGCAGCAAGGGCUGCAAGCCACAUACGUGGAAUAUACUGAGAAUUUAGCAUCUGAUCAUGAGCAAACUCAGAGACAUGGAUGGUCCUUCCUGCUACUUCUUUGAGUUUGCAGGGCUUGGAGGCUGUAGCAGUGAGUGGUGCUGCUGUCCUAAUGUCCUGACUAUACCGGGAGCCACUCUUCGAUCAUUCUUCUGUCCAUUCAGAUGAGUAGAGAUGGGCUGCAUGAACGGUUUUAUCCCCAGGAUCAAGUGGAGCAUCUGGCAUGGAACAGCCAGCCACUCAAUGCGAGGGGCUUUGUGGAGAGCUGUCCAUCAUCCUUGCCUGCCCAAGGACAAUGACUUCUCAGCUUUCACCAUGCAUCCUGCAGCCAUGGAGGGAAGCAAAAUUAACUGGUCUCCAUCAGCCUCCCCAUCAAACAUUUGCUGAGCACCCAUCAUGUGCAAAAUAUUGACUAGGAACUGUGGGAGAUGGGAAGAAUUCUGGAAACUCCUAACUCUCAAGGAAUUUGCAGGGUUAUCAGACAGUUGCCACACAAAGACAUAAAAACAUCCCCUGCUAAAAUAAAGACCACGCCAGAUAUGUGCUGUAGGUAUUCACCCCUGCAGGAACUCUGGGGAAAAUGGGGCAGGAGGAGUCACCCUUGGAUGUCACAAAUGGCUCUCCAAAGGAAAUAGAACAACAUCGCAGCAUGAAUUCUGAAGCCGGCCCACCUGCCUGCCUUGAAUUACAGCUUCCACCAGCUGUCUGGCCUUGGACAAACUACUUAACUCUCCACAUCUGUCAAAUGGGGAUAAUAAUAUAACAAUCCCCCAAUAUUGUGAGGAUGAAAUAAGCUAAUACUUAGGAAAAGCUUGGAACAGUGCUUGGCACGUCUUAAGUGUGAUAUGUGUGAGCUCCUUCCUUGAUUCUCAUUCUGACUUGAAGAGGAUUUUUAGAGGGGAGACCCAGGGAACAGUGGGGCAGCCUAGACGGGUGGAAAGUGUUAUGCUGGAGGCUUAACCUAACCUGGUUCAAAACCUGGUUCUGCUAUUUCUACCAGUGUGACCUUGACUUAAACUCUCCAAAGCUCAGUUCCUCACUUAUAAAAUGGUAAUAACAAAACCAAUUUCAUUGAAAACGUAUGCUAACGAUGCCAUGAUAAAUAAUAGUUAUUAUUAAAGAGAAACACAGUAAAGAAGUUCCCAGAGGGAGGUGAAUAAAUUAAGCAUGAUGACGUGCCUUGCUACUUCCCCAUCUUUCUCUUCUUCCCCCAGAUUUGUUCAAGGUCUCAUCAUUACUGGUUUGCAUUUCUAUUUUAAUCAUGUUAUAGGUUUACAGUAUUUUUCCCCCUGCAUCUUUAUAUGCUAUAAUUUGGGUACUAUUUUUACACAACGAAGCCAUUUUUAACCGAGAACAGAUUCAAUUGUCUUUCAGCAUAUAUCAUUGUUUAUCUUAAUUAAUGCUAAAAUAUUCUUAGGGGGAAAAACACAUCCCACAGAGUAUUAUGCGAAGAAACUUAGCAUUCAUUUUUGCCUCCCUCUUUUCUGGCAUAUCAAUUUAUAAAGGUUUUAGCAUCCUGUUAUUUCAAUGACAAUAAUGCAUGCUCUUAAACGCAGACACCCAUCUGUGGGAAGCAAGUCACAGGGUGUCAACAGCAGCAAGGUGUGUGUUGCAGUGGAGGUGGAGGAUUGACAGCUGGAAGAAGAAGGGGAUUUUGCUGGUGAGAAUAAUGCCAAGUGAAGUCAUAGGCUUUGUCUCUGAUUGAUCCAUGGAAACAUUCCUUGAGUAGAGCUGAAUCUAGCUAGAUUCCAUGCUUGGAGUCUUUCUUAGUAAGGCUACUACUAUAAGCACAGAUGAUGGAAAAUGGAUGAUGUUUUUAUUCAUCAUCCAUUCUCUUUCCUUCAAAUAAGAUGCCCCAUGCACCUCUGAGGGAAUGACCCUUUACACACUCAACCUAAGUUUUUUGCCUCUCCCUCCAGCUCUAGGGUGGGCAUGUGAUAUAGAACUGACCAAUCAAUAUCUAUUAUCUUUCUGGCCACAGUGAUUGGGCAAGGGAUAGCCAUGUGACCCAAUCAGAGCCAAGAGACUCAGUUUUGAGGCUUUAGAUAGAACCACUGGGAAAGAGGGUUCUCUUUCUACUGGGAUGCUGACCUGGCAGGAAUAUUACCCAGAGCUGCCUGUGACCAUCUUUACUAUGAAAAGGGGAGAGCUUGCCAAAGAAUGAAGCUGUAUUAUAGUCUGUUCUCAUGCUGCUAAUAAAGACAUACCUGAGAUGGGGUAAUUUAUAAAGGAAAGAGGUUUAAUGGACUCAAAGUUCCACAUGUCUGGGGAGGCCUCACAAUCAUGGCAGAAGGCAAACGAGGAGCAAAGUCACGUCGUACAUGGUGGAAGGCAGGAGAGCGUGUGCAGGGAAACUCCCCUUCAUAAAACUAUCAGAUCUCGUGAGACUUACGAGAACAACACAGGAAAGACCCGCCCCCAUGAUUCAUUUACCUCCCACUGGGUCCCUCCCAUGACACAUGGGAAUUAAGGGAGCUACAAUUCGAGAUGAGAUUUAGGUGGGGACACAGCCAAACCAUAUCAGAAGCCAAUAUGAAAGAAAACAGAACUGAGAGAUGGAGGCAGACUCUUGAUGACAACUCCUGGACCCUGGAUCAAUUUUUGUUUAAAGCCAGUCUGCACUCUGCAUCUUUGAUGUAAACCAAUGUAUUUCCUUUAUUUGUUUGUUUAAACUAAAUUAAGUCAUUUGUAAUUUAAAGAGUUCAGAGAGGUGCCGUGUUUCAGUAGGGAACUGUAAAAAGCCAGGAUAUUCUGUAAAUUAGAAGGGAAUAAUGUGGUGUUGACCACAUCUGGGAGAAUGUGCAUCUGAGGGUGUCUUGCAUGCCAAACUCACUUGUCUUCCUAAUCAAGCAAUAGUUUGGUAACUGAGAAGUUCCAAGUAGCCUUUAAGUCACACAAUCAUACUAGAGGAACUCCUAAGAACCUGGGUGACAUUGUGAUAUAAAAUGUGGAACUUCACUAGGUUAUGCAAGAACCUCUGAAAAGGGUUGAUAGGAAGGGUGUACGUUAGGUGUGUAAAGAACUAGGUGUGGGGGAACUAACUAGUACAAAAGGGAUCUGGUGAAUUUGGAUUCUACCCUACUCGAGAUGAUGUUGGAGGGCUCUGAUCAAAGUAGGGGUUUGGGGGCAGAAUUAUGACAAGUAUCUAUAGGAAGUCACUAUCUUUUAUUAAAAAUUUGUUGUGAACCUGUCCUCACUCAUAGUUGGGAAUUGAACAAUGAGAACACAUGGACACAGGAAGGGGAACAUCACACUCUGGGGACUGUUGUGGGGAGGGGGGAGGGAUAGCAUUAGGAGAUAUACCUAAUGCUAAAUGACGAGUUAAUGGGUGCAGCACACCAGCAUGGCACAUGUAUACAUAUGUAACUAACCUGCACAUUUGUGCACAUGUACCCUAAAACUUAAAGUAUAACAAAAAAUUUGUUGUGAACCAGAUACUGUACUAAAUGACUUACCUACACUGUUGUAUUUAAUUCUCUCAACAACCUGAUGAGUUCUGUAUCUUAUUAUAUCCAUUUUACAUGUAAGGGAGCUGAGGCUUAGAAAGCUGGAGUGACUUGGUCUGCCAUGGCUAGGAUUUCAGCUCAUGUCUGUAUGACUCGAAAGCAUCUAGUGGGUGGUAACAUUGGUUUGUAGACUUGAAACAACUUUGGCUAAUGACUGGGGCACAUGGAAGAGGGGACAGAGUCCAGCUUCCAAAGUUAGAAGGCUACCAAAACUAAGGUUUUGGUCAGAGAUUCAACAUUCCAGGGGCAGACCCUGAUCCCAAUGGGAGAGUAGAUUUGAUAGGGAAACUGAGGCAGGAUCCUGGGACUGGAGCCAACACAGGGAGCAUUAGUUGGGAGGGUUGUUGUGACCAGUCAACAUACUUCUGGGGGCUUGUGGCAAAGAACAAACACAGAACUCCAAAUGAAUUCCCUGCCAGAGCUUGUUCAGAGUUGGCUUGGGAUAGGAGAAUCUGAGGGGAGUAUGAGGCUGACAGAGAAAAAAGAGAGUCUUGUGGAAUCCUAAGAUUUAAAAAGAGAGGAAGAAAAGAUGCCUUUUAUUUAUUAAACAGUGAUUACGAAAUACCUAACACAUGGCCACGAUUAGACUAGGCUCUUCCCAUACAUGAAGCUCAGAGAGGUCAAGUGAGUUGUUCAGGGUAACACAGGAGCUGUGCCUGGGUAUGAAGCUGUAUCUGCUCAAACAUAAAGGUCUUUUCAUGGUGCCAGAGUCUACAUUUCCCAGAGUACUAAGAUAGUGACUUGAUCAUCAGCACUAAAUAUGUGUCGUAAAGAUAGCUCACAUUUACAGAUAUUAUAGCUACUCUGUGCCCUGCAAGGUGCUAACGACUUUACUUGGAUUAUCUCAACUUAUCCCCCAGACAACCUAUGACGUUUAGCCAGGCAUCAUCAUCAUCAUCAUCAUCAUCAUAUCAUCGUUAUCCUCAUCCUCAUCCUCAUCAUUGUUCUUGAAUGAUGAAAAUUGGAGCUCAGAAACUCAACCUGUGUCAAGAUUACAAAGCUAGCAAUUCUGGGUCAGAACCUGAACCCAGGCAGCCCGCACUUUCGAUGUGCCCAAGCUUAUAUCUCCACCUACAACUCUGCCUCAGUUUCUCCCUCUGUAAAAUGAAGACAGUAAUAAGGCACCUCACAAGGUUAUUGUGAGAACAAAAUGAACCGCUGCAUACUAGGAGCUUAACAGACUGGCAAAGAAAACUCCAUCAAUGUUGGCUUUCAUCGGGGCUAUUUUAAUUUUUGCAUCACCCUCUUCAAAAGGGCACUUCUCGCUUUCCCACGGCUAAGCUGCCACACUCAAGUGUGCUGGAAAAAAAGGCUGGGUAGCUCACAACGUGCGGGGGCAUCUUAGUGUAAUCCUGGGGUGAGAGAUAAAAGAAGCUCGCUUGACAUAACUUCAUAAACCCAUUUUAAUCUAAACAUUGAUUUUCCUUUGGAACAAUCCCUUUCCCCUUGCUCACAGUCCCACCACGCCUCUAAUACAGACGUGGGUAUUGAUAACAUUAUUGAGAUAAAACAGUCGCCUCUUUCUUAUUCCCUUUAUUCAUCAGUCACCCCAGGCCUGUCUUUGUCUUUUUUCAUCCUCUGCUACCCAGCAUUAUUCAUUGGAGUGCCUUCUUUUCCCUCACCCUCCAUAACUCAAGGUGAAAGUUUUCAGUAAUGACAAGUAGUAAAAUAUGAGAGAUUUAAGCAAAUUCAACUGGAAAUAAUGUGAAAAAAUAUUAUUCGCUCCGGACACAUGCUUCUCUUUUGAUCUUCCUUGUCCAAGAUACAUUUUAAAAAAAAUACUCCUUUGAUAACAAGAAGUGAGCAGGGGCUAAAAGGAAACCUUAUGUCUUUGUUGGGAAAUAAUUAGUCUGAUCGAAUCGCUUGCUUUCUGAUGGACAAAGGAGUCUUUAAAGAAAAUCAUUUGUGUUCUCUGGGCCCCUUCAGGCAGCACAGCUUUCCGAGGCUUGGGCUUUUAGAUGAGAGUUUGGGGAAUGGAAAAUUUCCCUGAAUAAGAAAUCAGAGAGCUUGACCUACACAGUUACCUCUCUCUUAACAUGACAACAAUUGGCAAUUACUUUUUGAUCCAAAGUGUGAGGAUGAAUAUGGAAAGGAAGGGCGAAUCAUUCUCCUUCUUCUCAAGCUCAUUCUCUCUUUAGACCUGCACCUGAAGCUGAUUUUCUUUUCUUUUUUUUUUUUUUCCAGUCCCAGCAAUUCAAUAUAAUCUAUAGCUGGAAAUACCUAUGUUAGCUGCAGCUGGGGGAAAAAGCAGUUGGCAAAUUCAUGAAUCAGGGCUUCUUUUCUUUUUCGCUUGUGAAAGGUAACUUCCGACAGCUUAAGGGUGAUUUGGAAUGAAGCGUGGGUUGGUUCCUAGUGUCAGCACAUUGCCUAGUUGUUCCAGCCAGGCUGGCUGUAAUGAAGCGUGGACAUCCAUACAUAGUUUCAGUGUCAGGGACACCGGUGACUCUAAUGAAGAGAGGACCUUAACUUUGAUGCAGAAUCAUGAUUGUUUAUAGCUGUGUGGUGAAGAAUGGGCUCUGAAAUCCAUCGCACUUCGGUGAAAAUGCUGUUUGGUCUGCAAUGUGAAGCUGAUAGCUUAAUUUCUCUGAUACUCAGUGUCUUUACCUGUAAAAUGGUGCCAAUAUCAAAGUAGCUGUCUGGUAUAGCAGGGUUUCUUAAUCUUGGCAUUAUCAACAUUUGGGGCCAGGACAUUCUUCAUGGUGAGGGGCUGCCCUGGGCAUUGUAGGGUGUUUAGCAGCAUCGUUAGCUUCUACCCACUAGAUGCCAGUAGCACUCUCCCCCCACCCCAUUAUGACAACAAAAAUCGUCUCCAGACACUGCCAGUGUCCCCUGGGAGGCGCAAUCCCUCCUCCCUCCCCUCACCGAAAGCCGCUGCCAUGGAGCUAUUGUGAGAAUGAAAUGAAAUAAUCCAUACAAUGCUCUCAGCACUGUUUAGUAGACAGUACAUAGUAAAUGCUCAAUACGAAUUAGUUGUUACUCAGACACCAAGAGGGUAACAACAGGCGCACAGACACUGGGGCCUAUUUGAGGGUGGAGGAUGAGAGGAGGGAGAGGAGCAGAAAAAAUAACUAUUGGGUACUAGGCUUAGUACCUGGGUGAUGAAAUCACAAACCCUAGUGGCACAAGUUUACCUAUAGAACCAACCUGCACAUGUACAUCUGAAUCUAAAAUAAAAGUUUGAAAAAUGAAUAAAUAACUAUUACUUGUUACUGUAUUAAUAAAACUGUCAAU